GCCCCCUCAGAAAUUCUUUAUAAACAGCUGUUAAGUGAAGAAAUCACACCAAGAUGGUUGAUUUUUAUUUUAUUUUAUUUUGUAGCGUGGCUACAAGAGGAGAUUUGGGCUUUCCUCUGCUGGGUUUACAUCCAGUAGAUGAAGAAUGGCAAAGGACCGUCCCUUGUGAGAGCCUCUCCCUUGCAGGAGCCAGCAAUGCACAAAGAGCUGCUGUAAAUCAACCUGGCAGCAGCAAUAACAUCUGACAGUGCCAAAAGAGCCCCUCGUUGGCUUUGCUGUCUGGAAAUGCCUGGCCGAUCGCAGGGUUUGUAUUUAUGCUUCUUGGUAAUUUGUCCAUACAUCAGUUUAUUUAUAAGCAGAGCACUUGCCCAGAAAGGGCUGUGUUUUCUUUGGCCACUCCAAGGGUUUCUCUCUGUUUGGUUUCCAAAGCACACACGUGGAAAGUGGAGGAGCGAACUGCUGCACCAGGAAGAGUUAGUCAUUUGUCCAGGAUUAUUUUUCCAGGUGGAUUUUAUAAGAAGCACAAGGCAGGAGGAGGUACAGCGCAACAGAGUCAGCUACAUGAUGUGCAGUUCUGCCCCAUCCUUUAGGAAUGAUCCCCUCAAGUGUGAGAGGACCAGAAGUGAAGAUGAUGAAGGGAGUCAAAAGUCCUCCUUGGGGGGUUUGACAUCUGUGUUCAGGCUCUUGAAGCACACGUUCAGCCACUUGCAAGGGAUGCAGAGCCAGCUUGGCUCUUGGCUGGGCUGGCUGAGAUCCAGAGCUGCUGACCAAAGUGGAGCUGUGCCAGACAGACAGGAACAUGGCUGAAGUCUGUGAUUGCAUGGUAUCCUGUUCUGUCCGUGCCCCUGGGCUGAUGGUUCACCCUCAUACAAACCAGGUCACUUCUGCAGGAGUCCAACACUUCUCCAAAAGAGAACCUGGGAGGUAAUCCAAUGAUGACCACUCCCUGAGAUGAAUGCAGCAGUGAUAAACCCUGCUAGGCAAAUACAGACAGCCUCUUUGUAUACAGUGAGAAAAGUCAUGGAAAUAGAGAAUACAGCGGGAAGAAGAUCUUGACUUUCAGUAAAUCACUGGCUCUGAAAUUUCUUCAGGAUCCUAUGUUGACCUCUGGAGAGAAACUUGUGCACUGAGACACGGUGAAAUGGCUGCAUGCAAAGGUGGUGAGGCUCUGUAUGUUGCUGGUUUGGCUCUCUGAGACUGCAGGAGUGAGCAGAGAGCACAGCUCAAAUGCCUCAUGCAGGAUGUGGAAGAUGAUAGAGCUUUUGUAGAUACAUAGCCCUAGAAUUAUGGCAUAAUGCCAGACCAGGGGAAACCCAGAUGGCCACUGAGAUGCCCAAGAGCAUUUGCAGUGAAAAGGCAAAGAUGGAAGAGCCAGGGAAUAAGAGCUGAUGGCAUGAUGUUACAACCACAGGCACUCCCAGGGCAGCACAUGGAGGCUGAGCUCGGGUCUCCAUGUGCCUGAAGGUUUGUUUUGGGGACAGAAAUAACAGGAUAAAUUGUUUUGAGGAUGAGCAGGUGUGCUUGAGAGUAGCUUUUUUUUUUUUUUUCCCCUAAACAUCCCAAAUAAGGGACACCAUUGACACCAUUUGUCUACGCUUUGGCUGCUUCUCCCACAACUUUGGCAAUUUCUGUCUCAGUGCUGGGCCUGAUGCCUGGACAAAGGGUGAGCCUGCAGCUUGGCAAUGCUGAUUGUCCUGUCUCAGCAUGGAUCUCUCACUCCAGCACAUGCCCCAGUUCUUCGUACAAUCACAGCAGAAGUCUCUCCUCUUGCACUGACCCAACACUCUGGUUUCCAAAGAAGUUUGGGUUUCUCAUCUCAGCCAGUCUCUGCUGGCCCUCUGCUGAGGGUAUAAAUCCCACACUGAUGCUAUUCUGGAGUUUACUGCUGCUGUAUAUGUUACCAGGGGAUGCUUAUAUCAUUUUCUGCUCAGUCCUAUUUAGGACACUUCUUAUUUUUAUAAAGGAAGCUCAAAGUCGAACUCCUCCCCAAAACUCCUUGAGAAGUGUAUUAAGGUGUGACCUAAUUUCUUACAAGUUCUUCCAUUGGGACAUAUUCUUCUCCACAUCCUCCUCCAUCCACUGCAACUCCACAGGGAGCACAUAUCAGUUGUGUUCCCAUCAGCUUGGGGAUCUGCUCCAUCCCUCCUGCUCCCACCAGAUGCCCUAAUUAUGUGUGUGUUGUGAGCAGGUAAGUGCUGUAGGGGAUACUGUGAAGGUGAGCUGGAUGAUGUGACCUCCCUUUUUUUCCUGCCUCAAUGAUAACUUGAAAGAUUUCUUUGCCUUCUGCUGUUUCCCUGCAUUAGUGAAACUUCCCAUAUAAGAGCAGAGCUGGACAAGAAGGUAAGAGCAGAGAGCCUGCAGGGUAGGGAUUGGCCUUGGAGGAAGCCUGGUGGACACCUGGAGGUGAUUUGCUAUUGGCAGCCAAGUGGCUGAAUCCCACUGUGGAAGAGUAAUGACCUUCAUGGAAUCAUACAAUCAUAGAAUCACGAAGGUUGGAAAAGACCUCCAUGCCCAACACCAACCCAUCCCACCAUGCCCACUGACCACGUCCCUCAGAGCCACAUCUCCACAAUGGCUGAACACAUCCACAGAUAGUGACUUCCCCACCUCUUGGCCAGCCUGCACCAGUGCCUCGCCACUCUUUGAGAGAAGAUUUUCUGGAUCUCUAAGAACAUCUUUUGUCUUGCAGUGGGUUUCUUCCUGGCUCUUAAAGGAAGAGAUGGCCUCACUUUACAUCAUCUGUGUCCCAAACCACCCUUUCAGAAGAGACUCUAGCUGUCUAAGAUGUGCACUUAGGCAAUCUUCACUCACAAAAUAACUGUUUACAUUGUAUUUAGAUACUAAAUCUUGAUUCACUCCUGGUUUCUACCUUAGUUUGUCCGUUUCUGCAAUGAAGCAGCAGAAAUUGCUCCAGUUCUUCCAACGAGGCUUAGACCUCAGACAUUAGCAGCCCCUUCCUGGCCAAUAUAAUGUGCCUGGUGUGCCUAGAGGGCAAGAAGGACCGUCCCACUCUGCAGGCAGGAAAGGGGUAUGGAGAGGGCCCUAAUUAUGGCUAAUCCCACCUGUUAGCAGCUGCCCAGAUGCAGCAGGAAGACACUGGGUGGUUGAGAGACCAGAGACAUCACUGAAGAGGAGGAUGGGGAUGUGCUGGGGGUCAGAGCUGCAGUCCUGAGCAGUCUCCUGUGAGUCAAAGAUGGGCACAAGGCCCUGGGUUGGAUGAAGCCUUGAUCCACGCUGGCAAUGCAGUUCCCUCAAACUCCCAAGAGUGCUGCAAGCGUUUACAUACAGUAGCACCACUUCUGCCAAGAUAAUAUCUACAGUAAUAUGACAAGGCAGCAGAAUUUAAGUGGGUGUAUGUUGCCUCUCUUCACCCUGAGCAGUUUUUUCUGCUGAUAGGACCUUGCUAAUUUGCUUCCAUCAGAAGAAUAAAUGAAUCAACCGAG